rnacentral:ncRNA from 1 species
UCUUAAGCGAUGAUGAGAAAGAGUACAAAAAGGAAUUGCGCCAAGCGAGAAUGGGGUAGUGAGAGCCAUUGGCAAGGAACUUUUGGAAGUGCGUCUCGGAGUUGAUUGGAAGAAGGGACAGUAUUCCGAUCCGUAUAACUGCGUUAAAGUUAAUAAGCUGGAACGACGACAUGGUCGUUCAAUCAGAGUGGGACCGCGGAACCUUUCGUCUCUGGA